AGCUUGCUAGAAGAUGACGAGUGGCGGACGGGUGAGUAAUGCUUGGGAACUUGCCUUUGCGAGGGGGAUAACAGUUGGAAACGACUGCUAAUACCGCAUAAUGUCUUCGGACCAAACGGGGCUUCGGCUCCGGCGCAAAGAGAGGCCCAAGUGAGAUUAGCUAGUUGGUAAGGUAACGGCUUACCAAGGCGACGAUCUCUAGCUGUUCUGAGAGGAAGAUCAGCCACACUGGGACUGAGACACGGCCCAGACUCCUACGGGAGGCAGCAGUGGGGAAUAUUGCACAAUGGGGGAAACCCUGAUGCAGCCAUGCCGCGUGUGUGAAGAAGGCCUUCGGGUUGUAAAGCACUUUCAGUUGUGAGGAAAAGCUAGUAGUUAAUACCUGCUAACCGU
rnacentral:rRNA from 1 species